GUGCUGGCUUCGGAGCACAUAUACUAAAAUUUGAACAAUACAGAGUAGAUCAGCAUGGCCCCUGCACAAGGAUGACACGCAAAUUUGUGAAGCACUCCAUAAUAGA